GACUAGUCUUGAACUCUAACCUCCUGAGUAGCUGGGACUCCAAGGGCAUGUCAUCAUCAAACAAGCAUCAUCCAUGACUCCUGGUUAUAGUUCCAGUUAUGACAGCAGACUUUAGGAAAUCACAAGAUUUUCCAAAAGUCCUUAAUUUCCAUUGAGUAAUACUUGCAGUGUUAGAGAAACUGCUUCCACCCUGGACUACAGUAGUGGAAUAUCUAGACUACGGAAUGAAUGAAACCCUGCAGUGUAAAUGGAGGGAAUGACCUAAUCAGACUCUCCUGGUGAAGUAAAAGGG
rnacentral:lncRNA from 1 species